rnacentral:rRNA from 1 species
UCAUUGACCUCGGAUCAGGUAGGGAUACCCGCUGAACUUAAGCAUAUCAAUAAGCGGAGGAAAAGAAACCAACAGGGAUUGCCCCAGUAACGGCGAGUGAAGCGGCAACAGCUCAAAU